UACUACAAUUUUUGAAAUAGGUUGUUUAAACCAGCCUACUGGCACAGAAGUUUUCUAAUCACCUCAAAAAAAAAAAAAUCCCCAAAACCACAAAAAAAAUCACAAAUAUUUUUCUGGAGGUACUUUACAUGAGCAUGGCAUCCGGGCUUGGGGGACCAGGGAGCAAUGCAAGUCUGGAUAAGUGUGCAACUGUUAAUGUGCCCUUGGAACAGAGAAUGAUGUUCAGGCAAUGUGCUAGUCUCUUAUUUUAGAAAUACAUAUUUAUAUUUACAAAAAUCUUACAAGAGGUUAAAAGAAGUGUUGGUGGGAUGUUAGAUCACUGAAUCCAUUUGCCAUAUAAGGAAUCUGGGUUGUCUCUGCUUGUCAAACUUCAGCUGACUGAAAGGUAAUGACCUUUUGAGCCAGCAGCGGCAAUUGCCUUAGAGACUGCCUAGUCAAGCAGUCGAAUGUUUUUAUAUAUCUGCUGGCCCUUGCAGACUCCCUGCCAGUUUAUCAGGAGAUAGACCUGAUUUGCUUUUACAACACCUCAGUGAUUUAUAUCCUGGAAUAUUCUUGAAUUCUUUUGGUUGUAAGAGCAGUCCAUUGUCUAUUAAGACUUUAUCCUUGAUGCAUCUGGCGACUGUCCAGGGCAGUCUGCUACUGUAUGUACACAGAGAAGACUUGGAAUUGUCAUCCAAAAUCAUUCAGAAUCUUCAUCAAUACCUUUAUCUGUGCAAAAAAAAAAAAACCUGUCCUCAUAAAAAAAAAAAAAAAGCAACGAAUAAACUAGAGUUUAUUGGCACCAGGGACAAUUGUCACUCCUUUAUGAAUGUCCUCUCACCACCUCAACCUGUUUGUGCCCAUUGAGUGUCCUCAGGGUUAUGUUUGACUGUAGCUUCCACUAGCUGCGGUUGUUCCCUUUUCAUUCCACAAAUAGCAGCACUUUAAAAUGUUUUAUUUUUGGUACUUUAAUAGGAAGAGCAAUAUAGUGAACGAUGCACUAACUAAUGAGGACAUCUCUUAAUUUGACAGACUAAUGUGACACAUUUUUAUUAAAAUAAUUUCAUCCAAGCACUUUAUUUCUAAGAAGGCAAGUAAAUGGGCAAAGCAUAAAGGCAGUGUAAACAAAUGGCAGAUAUUUUACCUUUCUGCAAUGAUUUUAGGAGAGAUUGCAGCUUGAUGCAAAGCAAAAUAGCUGAGCCCAGUUUUACUAUGAAUGAAUACUGCACAACUCAUGUGUAACAGCUCUCCUAUACAAAUUUGCAAAGCAAAAUCAGCUUCUGGAUUUGAAAUACAGGAAGGACUAGAAGUUGAAUUUCGGAGCAGAGCCUGACAUUGUAUCUGGCAAGAUCAAAGGAAGUGAAUAUAUUUUUCAUUUAUGCUUGGAUUAUGUUUCAUUUAACUUCACAGCUAGUUUACAGAACCAACAAUAAAAGACCUGAUAGAAAAUCACAUGUCACCAAAAGCCAGGCAAUCUCAUAAAAAUGGGAAGCUGGACAGGACAAACGCAGAUCUGAACCAAUGUGAUUAAUCAAAUGUUCUCCCUUUAUUCAAGAAAAGAUUGUAGUUUACAUAAGCUUCUACAUAGUUUACAGAAACAAAGGCACUCUGAUUGGCACACUAACAUUGUUUACCUUUUCCUUAAGGUGGCCAAACUUUUCACACUGCAGCUCUACUCUAAUUCAUGCUCGGGUAGCUCAUUACUUUGUAGUUACCUUAACAUAAUUUCUGACUGCUCCACAACUGAAUUCUCACUGCAUCAAAGGCUUCAAGGCCGCUUAUCGGGGCCUAGUCUGACUGGGUAGCUCAAACCUCAUUCCAAACAUAAAUCAUGGCCUCUGUCUCUCAAAAAUUCUGUAACAGUCACCUGAUAAACAAGAAAAAAGGUGAACAUGACUGGAGGGAGUAAUAAUCUACUGAGGGAAUGUAGACAUGUAUGGUAUGCAAGGUUUUAAUGAAACCACAGGCUAUGACAAAAUCCAUUCAGUCCAGGUAUUGCCCCAAGAAAUCAAUUUUUUUUUGUCACAGGCUUGUGACACCUGGCAUUGUGCAAAGAGUUUUGAUAAAAGGGAUUAUGUUCAAACAAAAAAGCUUAUCCUUUAAUAAACUGUGGCUGCAUUUCUGAUGCUGUUGUCGAGACUGACCUCAAAAGGCCUUGUCUGUCUCCUGAGUUGCCAGCUAAUAUUGCUUAAAUUUGCCAGUGUACUUGUUAUUCUGUGGGUGGGGAAGUACAGACAAAGAAGUUGAAGUUCAAGGCAAUACAGACAGACUUUUAACAUUGACCCCAUAAAAUUUGGCUGAGGUAUUAGCUAGCUGGUUAGGAAUGGAAAAGUUUCCAAAAUGACCCUCAGCUUCUAGCACAUUAUCUGAUAACUCCUGAAAGUUCUUCAUCCAUCAGAAGUCUUGAAACAUGAAAUGCUUAGGGGCACCAUUCACAGUCCCUGAGAAACAGUAAACAGGAUGGGGAUAUCAAGCAGGCCUGUAGGAACAGAGAUAGUGCAGGGUCAUAUCACAGAAUCAUAGAACCAUUGAAUGUUUGGGUUGGAGGCGACCUUAAAUUUGACCUAGUUCUGACUCCCCUGCCAUGGGCAAGGACAUCUUUCACUAAAACAGAUUGCUCAGAACCCCAGAUGAACUGUCCUUCAACAAAUCCAGGGAUAGGCAUCAACAGCUUCAUAGGACAACCCAAGGCUAUUCCUUAGGUCUUCCCUAACCCUUCUUUUUAAUAAUCUCAGCUCGAGCCCUCCUAUCACCUUUAUGACUGUUCUGGACUGACUCCAACAGGUCCAUGUCAUUCUUACGUUGGGUACUCAUCUUCAGGGCAGACAGGGACAGGACAGGAAUGUCUGCCUACAUGUUUAUCUCACACUGACCUUGGUCCUCAGACAUUGCUGAGAAUGGCAGAGCCCAGGCAUGGGAAUGGUUUCGCAGAGUAAUGUUGCUACCAGGCAUAGAAGCCUUUCUAUAAAAGAAUAGACAGUUUUUACAGCUUGUUGGGUGCAGGAGCAGGCAGUUCCUAAAUGUUGAAAGAAACAUACGCAACGGAGAUGCCUGGCUUGGUUGAGCAGGGAUUUUCUCUUGGAAAUAAGGUGAACAAGAUGCGCAGUGGAAGCAAGGUCAGGUGCCAUGGGAAGGAGACAGAGAUGCUGCUCACCACUUUAGGGAGAAAAAGUGCAGCCAAAGCUCAUCGGGAGUUAAAGCUGGCCAGAAUUGUGGGGGACGUUAAGAAGAGGUUUCUCAAAUAUAUUAAUGGAAAAAGGCGGUGUAGAAAUAUCAUCAGCGUUUUACAGGAUGAGGAUGGUCACGUCACAGACAGGGACAUGGACAAGGCAGAAGUGUUUAAUGCAUUCUUUGCCUCUGUAUUCAGCACGGAUCCAGGGGGGUGUCAGUUACUGAGCUGGAGGACCAAGGCUCUGAGAAUGAUCAACACAAUCACAGCCCAAUUAACCUUGAGAUUGCACAGGCUCUGCUGCUUCAGCUGAAUCCCUAUAAAUCUAUAGGCCUUGAUGAAAUUCAUCCAAGAAUCCUCAAAGAGCUGGCUGAUAUCAUUGCAAAACCUCUCUUGAUGAUACUUGGGGAUCUGGAGAGGUCCCAGCUCAUUGAAAGCUGUCAAAUGUUUUCCUAACUUUCAAGAAGGACAAGAAGGAUGACACUGGAAACUACAUGCCUAUCAGUCUCACUUCCAUGCCUUGUAGAGUUAUGGAGAAGAUUAUUCUGGGAAGUAUUGAAAAUUACCUGGACAACACCAUAGCCAUUAUCACAGCCAGCACAUCCUCAUGAGUGGAAAGUCCAGUUUUCCAACCUGAUUUCCUGUUACAACAAGGUAACCUGUUUGGUUGAUCAAGGGAAGCCAGUUAAUGUGAUUUUUAAAAAAAAUUUAUAAAGCUUUUAAUAUUGUUUCUCUCAGGACCCUUCUGGAGAAAAUGUGCAGCCCACAGCUGGAUAAACACAUCAUGUGGUGAGUGAGCAGCUGCUCAUGGGUCAGGCACAAAGGGCAACAGUGAAUGGGGUGACAUCAGACUGGUGUGACCUGUCACUAGUGGGGUUCCACAGGGCUCCAUCCUUGUCCCACUUCUCUUGAACAUCUUCAUAAAUGAGCUGGAUGCAGGACUGGAAGGACUACUAAGCCAGUUUGCUGAUGACAUUAAACUGAGAUGAGCUGCUGACUUUCUUGAGGGCAGGGAGGAUCUUCGGAGAGACCUUGACAAACUACAGGAAAUCACCAGCCAUACGAGGUUUAACAAGGAUUCUGCAUCUGGGAUGGUGCAACCCUGGAUGUGUGUAUAGACUGGGCAACAAGAGAGAGAGCAGCACUGUGGAAAGGGACCUGGAGGUCCUGGCUGAUGGCAAGCUGAAUGUAAGCCAGCAGUGCCCUGGCAGCCAGGAGGGCCAAUGGGCCCAUGGGGCAUCAGGGACAGCAUUGCCAGCCAGGCAAGAGAGGGGAUUGUCCUGCUCUGCUCUGAGCUGGGGCAGCCUCACCUCGAGUGCUGGGGCGUUUUCACAAUAUUAAAAAAACAUGGAGCUGUUAGAGAUUGUCUGAAGCUUCAUGCUUUGCCAUGAAGAUGAUGAAUAGUCUGGAGAGGAAGCUGUGUGAGAAGUGGCUGAGGUGAUUUGGUCUGUUCAUCCUGGAAGAGACUGAGGGGAGACCUCACUGAGGUCUUCAACAUCCACACAAGCAAAACAGGGGAACAGGCACCAACCCCUUCACUCUUGUGACCAGUGACAGAUCUCAAGGAAAUGGCAUGAUGCCGAAUCAGGGCAGAUUUAGGCUGGAUAUCAGGAAAAGGUUUUUAAUCCAGGGGGUGGUUGGGCACUGGAAUGUAUUUCCCGGGAGAGUGGUCACAGCACCAAGCCUGACAGAGUUCAAUAAACAUUUGGAAAACACUUUCAGGUGCAUUGUGUGAUUCUUGGGGUGGCCAGGAGUUGGAUGUGAUGAUCCUGAUAAUUUCCUUCCAACUCAGGAUAUUCUAUGAUUUUGUAACUUGGAGGUCUGAGUUCAGAAAUGCAGGUGAAGGUGCUAAGUUAGAAAGGAUUUUUCUGCUGUUGAGAUGUCAGGGUGAAGGAAAACCACACUGUACUUGCCAAAACAGAAUACACACCAUCCUGCAAAUGGCUGAGAAAAUGAACUGACCUAUCUUUACCCAGAUUAUCAGUUUCUUGCAGCUAUGUAGGCUCCAGGAUGGAUGGAUGGAUGGAUCUCUCAGCAGAACAAAAAUGAGUGUACAUUCAUUCACUUCCAAUGUGUCACUCCUACUGAGACAGCAUUUGUGGAGGUCUGUUCCAGAAAAUUUCACUGACUAAAAGGGCUACAAAGGGUAUAAAGUUAACUGCUUAUGACAGCAAGAGAAAUUAAGAAGAACAUGGCAUAAACGAAGAAAUCGGUAAAAAAAUUAAAUAUUUUUAAUCAACAUGCCAUUCUUUAUAUGGAAUCGAUGUGCUGUGUAAGUGUAUCAAAUAUAGUGUAUUCCUCUUCCCUUUCUUCUUCUGUUAGUUUGGCUUCAAUCUGAUAAUUCUUAAUACAUAUUUAAGAAUGUUCAGCUGGGACAAUUUGCAAAGCUAAAAGGAUAAUUACAGGCUUGGGUUUUACUUCUUGGGGGAUAAUUUGUUAUAGGUCUUAUACAUUUCACUUUGGCAAGUGAGAAUUUUUCACCAGUGGAUAAAAUUAUAAGGGGAAUUCAGAAAAUAUUCCUUCUCCUUGAACACAUUGCAGUGAUUUAAUGAGAUUAACUCAUACAGUACAAAUAGCCCAACCCUGUCCAAAUGCAAACACUUCUUCCUCCUCCUUGUUUCUUAGCAAUUAUUGUUUUAAUUAGAACUCUUCAUGAUACCUACUGUUUGACAAUGGAGUUCUUUCCUUUGUUGAUCCCAACUCAGUUGGUGUUUAAAUUGCCAAAAAGUUUUGAAGUUUAGCCCAAAAGCAGCUAUAACCCAUCAGGAAGUCUGCUUUACUCCAGUCUGCUUGCAAAGAUUUGUGCAAUACUUAAAUCUGGAAUCUUUGCAGAACAAGAUGCUUGCCUUUGUAAACAAAACUGUAGCAUACAGCACACCUGCCUUUCCCCCCUGUUUGUAUCUUUUGCCAUUGUGAAAAAAAGUAAAUUGAAAACUUCAUAGGUUCAGAACUGUGGAGGAUAGGCUAUCCUCAGAACUAUUAGCCCAAUUAAUCAAUUUAUUUAUGAAUUAUACUUUUAUGCUUUGACCUUGAAGAGAUCAUAAUUCUGAUAAAAUAUAAAUGCUUUAUGUACAGGAUUAUAUAUCAAUGCUUUAUAUACAGGAUUGGCUUCUGGACCUCAGUGAAAUGGAAUAAGUGCCUAGCCUGUUUGUCUGUUUAAAAAAAAACCCAUGCAACUGCUGUUUUCAGAGGAAGACUAGCUUUCAGCAGAUAACUAGGGCUACCAAUAGCCUUUUGUUUCCUUUUUACUCUCAUAGCUCAGCCAAAGUUGAAUCGGUUUGCUCAAUAUUUAGUAAUUCACGUAAAAAGAAUUUUGGAAUUUAUUUGUUAAGUGGGCUAUUUUCAGAACUGUCUAUUCCCAAAGAAUAUUCAAGGCAAUAUUAUGUUGCCUUAAUGCCUGCUUCUGUUCGAGGUCUGUUCUUUGAUAACAGCAGGCUGGACUAGCACCUGAAAAAGUAAAUGUGCUUUAUUUAGUUACACUAGGGGAUCAAAAUUGCUGUGCACAGCUAAGGUCAUGGCAGAAUGAAGUAGCCGAGGGCACAAAUCUUCUUUUCAUGUUCUUCCAGGUUCAGUAAUCCCUGGAUUAUUUAUUUUUCCUUUUCAUGGGAUAACUCUGAAGAUAACUAAAUUUUAAGAAGUAUUACUUAAUGCUUUGGACUCCAGAGCAGUGAACAGCACCACCCCAGCCCCCAUGAUCUCCCCUACCUCCACCCAAAAAAAAAAAAAAAAACCAGAAGAAAAAGCAAAGCAAGCAAAUAAGUAAAUAAAAACAUUUCCAAAAAAUUCAGAAGCUUAAUGCUUUGAAUUUUAGAGAAAAAAAAAAAAGAAAAAAACAAAAAAAAAA
rnacentral:lncRNA from 1 species